UCGGCACGUGUUCAGCAACAACAACAAGGCAGUGCCAGCACUAAUUUGUUGCCAGCAACAUGUACCCAGCAACAUAGUGAGAGCGAGAGGGAGAGCGCAGCAGUAAGCUGCCAGCUGAUGCGCACGGUUCCGAUUUCGAGUGAUUUAUGGGCAAUGCAAUCAGACAUACGCGAUAUGGAGCCUCGACGCUCGAGUCUGUGUAUUAGAUUUGAUAUAUGUGUGUUUUGGGGGCACGCGCAGGAUGUUGUCGUUGUUCCAACAAUUAACGCAUGCGUGCGAAUCGAAGAUUGGCAUCGGCUAUAGCUGUAGCUGUAACUAACUCUGCACUAGUGCAGUUGUGUGGGUAUUUCAGCUGCGUUCAUACAAUUUUCUAUCUGGUUGGCACACGACUUUUUGCUGCUGCUGACGAUGCCACAGCAGCCAGCACAGCUACAA